GACGAACGCUGGUGGCGUGCCUAAUACAUGCAAGUCGAGCGGACCAAUAGAAGCUUGCUUCUGUUGGUUAGCGGCGGACGGGUGAGUAACACGUGGGCAACCUGCCUGUAAGACUGGGAUAACUUCGGGAAACCGGAGCUAAUACCGGAUAAUUCAUCCCCUCGCAUGAGGGGAUGCUGAAAGUCGGUUUACGCUGACACUUACAGAUGGGCCCGCGGCGCAUUAGCUAGUUGGUGAGGUAAUGGCUCACCAAGGCGACGAUGCGUAGCCGACCUGGGAGGGUGAUCGGCCACACUGGGACUGAGACACGGCCCAGACUCCUACGGGAGCCAGCAGUAGGGAAUCUUCCACAAUGGACGAAAGUCUGAUGGAGCAACGCCGCGUGAGCGAUGAAGGCCUUCGGGUCGUAAAGCUCUGUUGUUAGGGAAGAACAAGUAUCGGAGUAACUGCCGGUACCUUGACGGUACCUAACCAGAAAGCCACGGCUAACUACGUGCCAGCCGCCGCAGUAA
rnacentral:rRNA from 1 species